rnacentral:rRNA from 1 species
GACGGGGGGAUGCGAGCGUUAUCCGGAAUGAUUGGGCGUAAAGGGUCCGCAGGCGGUGAUGUAAGACCGAUGUGAAAUCCCCGGGCUUAACCUGGGAACUGCAUUGGUGACUGCAUUGCUGGAGUAUGGCAGAGGGGGGUGGAAUUCCACGUGUAGCAGUGAAAUGCGUAGAGAUGUGGAGGAACACCGAUGGCGAAGGCAGCCCCCUGGGCCAAUACUGACGCCUCAUGCACGAAAGCGUGGGGAGCAAACAGG